AUUGAACGCUGGCGGCAGGCCUAACACAUGCAAGUCGAGCGGUAGCACAGAGAGCUUGCUCUCGGGUGACGAGCGGCGGACGGGUGAGUAAUGUCUGGGAAACUGCCUGAUGGAGGGGGAUAACUACUGGAAACGGUAGCUAAUACCGCAUAACGUCGCAAGACCAAAGUGGGGGACCUUCGGGCCUCAUGCCAUCAGAUGUGCCCAGAUGGGAUUAGCUAGUAGGUGGGGUAAUGGCUCACCUAGGCGACGAUCCCUAGCUGGUCUGAGAGGAUGACCAGCCACACUGGAACUGAGACACGGUCCAGACUCCUACGGGAGGCAGCAGUGGGGAAUAUUGCACAAUGGGCGCAAGCCUGAUGCAGCCAUGCCGCGUGUAUGAAGAAGGCCUUCGGGUUGUAAAGUACUUUCAGCGAGGAGGAAGGCGUUAAGGUUAAUAACCUUGGCGAUUGACGUUACUCGCAGAAGAAGCAAUGACGGUAUCUGGGGAAUAAGCAUCGGCUAACUCUGUGCCAGCAGCCGCCGCGUAAUAC
rnacentral:rRNA from 1 species